GUGCAGGUGGACGGUGUUCCCACUGACAGGGAGACGAAAACGCCCUCUUGUGCCCCAAAUAUCAGCAUUAAUGGGGACACGUGUGGGGUGAAGGGGGCUGCUGGCACCUGCCCCAUGCAGGGCUGGGCUUUUUGCAGCUCCCUGGGCUGGGGAAACCCUUUAUGGGCCCUGCGACGCAUCGGGGAUGGGAAGGAGGGUUUGGGGAGGUGGCACUGCCCACCACGUGUGGGUUUUUGGGGGGCCCAGCACCUCUUCCCUGCAGCAUCACGGGGGACGUGGCAUGGGGACGGGGCCCCUCCACUCACCGGCGCUCAACUCGGCUCCCGGGGAGCUUACUGGGAGCCGAGCCCCGGGAUUAACCCACGGCACGGAGAUUAAUUCCGGGGAGAGUUUUUUCCCGUUUAAUAGAGCCCAGCGAGCGGCGUAAAUACCAGCCCGGAUUAGGGGCUGCUGCCUCGGGACUCAGCUCCCGGCACGGAUCCGGCCCCUGGUGAUGCUCAGCCAUGGGGUCUAGGAGCAGGGCAGCGGCCACCCCAAAUUUAGGGGACAGCGGGGUGACGGCGGAGGUGACUGCGGCCCAGGUGCCCCCCAGGUGGUGGGGACGGUCCCCUCCCGACCCGCUGCGUGUCCCCAGGCUGGGAAGGGGCUGGUGAAUGCGGCGAGGAGCCGAGACACCCGGGGAAAAUGUUGGGGGCUGGGGUAAGAGACACUGAUUGAAUAGCAAUGACUGCGUGAUUUAUGGUUUGCAUUAUUGCAUGGCUCAUUUGAAUAUAUGCUAAUAAGGCUUUUCUCCUCGUUUUGUUUGUAAGAUUUAGAUUUGCUAUGGCAACCCGCUGGCAUGGAAGGAGCGCCAGGAAAUGUCAGGGCGAGGUGAGCUCGGCCCAGAGGCUGCGCCGGGGGACUCUGCCUGCCCGCCGAGGAGAGGAAAAAUCCCGGCAUCGCCUCGAUCAGCGUGGUUUUGGCAGCACCCACCAAAGGGGACGGGGACAGGGACAAGGAGAAGCCGUGCCAGCGCAGGGCAGUGGGGAGACGACCACCUCGCAGCACCCUCACCCUGGAAAUCGAAGGGAAGAGGAGCUCCACCAGGACCUGGGGUUAGGACUGAGCUUUCCAGCCCGGAGGAGGCUGCUCCUGCUGUGGGUUUGCAGCGGUAAAGUUGUCCCUGGCUUUUGGGGCCGGGCUGGCGUGGUGGCAUCCCUCCUCCACUAA
rnacentral:lncRNA from 1 species